GGGGGGGGGGGGGGGGGGGCGGGGCGCGGGGGGGGGGGGCGGGGGGGGGGGGCGUGGGGGGGGGGGGCGGGUGGCGGACGGGUGCGGAGCACGUGGGUAGCCUGCCCUCGACUGGGGGCUGCCGUCACGCAACCGGGGCUAACACCGGAUAGGAGCUCCUGCUGCCUGGUGGGGGUUGGAACGUUUCGGCGGUUGGGCGUGGCCUCGCGGCUUAUCCUCUUGUUGGUGGGGUAGUGGCUUACCAAGGCGUUGACGGGUAGCCGGCCUGAGAGGGUAACCGGCCACAUUGGGACUGAGAUACGGCCCAGACUCCUACGGGAGGCAGCAGUGGGGAAUAUUGCACAAUGGGCGGAAGCCUGAUGCAGCAACGCCGCGUGCGGGAUGACGGCCUUCGGGUUGUAAACCGCUUUCGCCUGUGACGAAGCGUGAGUGACGGUAAUGGGUAAAGAAGCACCGGCUAACUACGUG
rnacentral:rRNA from 1 species